rnacentral:rRNA from 1 species
AUACGGAGGGUGCAAGCGUUGUUGGGAAUCACUGGGCGUAAAGGGCGCGCAGGCGGUUUUACAAGUCAGAUGUGAAAGCCCACGGCUUAACCGUGGAAGUGCAUUUGAAACUGUAAGACUUGAGUAUCAGAGGGGAAGGUGGAAUUCCCGGUGUAGAGGUGAAAUUCGUAGAUAUCGGGAGGAAUACCGGUGGCGAAGGCGACUUUCUGGCUGAAUACUGACGCUGAGGCGCGAAAGCGUGGGGAGCAAACAGGAUUAGAUACCCGCGUAGUCC